UCCCGGACAAGGUAACCUAAGUGGUUCACGAAGGCCCUUGAAUGGGGUCCAACUGGCUUGCCUGUUGCUUCCUCGAAUUCUGAGAUUACUAACCGGCCCUCCAUAGGCUUCUUUGGGCCUCGUACUCUCCGGCUGGUCCCCGUGGUUGUCGUCGAGCCAGAGGGCUAUGUAGAAAGAAAAAAGACAAUUUAAUACAAGAUAUUAUUUCGAAUUAUAUCUGUAAAAACAAAGGAGACUGUCAUAUUACAGAACUGCUGGCCAGCAUUGUCUUGCUCAUUCGGGUCGACCAAAUACUGAGAGCAGUCAUCGAUUCCCUCAGGGUUUUCAUCGCCUUCGCGAUCAUCGUGAUAAACUUCUUCAGUGGGACCGCAGAUCAGGUUCAUCAUUUCCUCUUCGUGUUCUCUCGGAUCGGCCAUUUCUACAGAAAUAUGUGACACAUCACUACUAGCACUACUGUGUAUACUUGACAAGGAAACAAUAUAUAAAACUAGGGUUUAGGGUUUAGGGUUUAGGGCUUAGGGCUUAGGGCUUAGAACAUCACUAAAUACAUCACAGAACACUAUAGAACAUCACUAAAUACGUCAAAUAUAUAUUACGUGAAAAAAAACUAAAUACACCAUAGAACAUCACUAAUUAUAUGUGUUCAGGGCUUAGGUUUUAGGGUUUAGGGGUUAGGGUUCAGGGGUUAGGGUUUAGGGUUUAGGGUUUAGGGUUUAGAGCUUAGGUUUAGGGUUUAGUGUAUAUCAUUUGCUAAUAAUUAAAUAUAUCAUAAUUGUACCACUAAUUUAAACCACUAAUUGUACCACUAAUUAUAGCACUGAUAAUUGUACCACUAAUAGAUCCAUCUCGACAUACCUGUAGUUUGAAGGCGGUGAGACGGCGGAGAGACGGCGGUCGGUGCGUAGACUCGACGGGGACUUUAGUAACGACGGUAGAGAGACGUCGAUCUGGAAGAAGGAAGAAAUAAGAAACAAAUAUUAUAUCACAUUUACAUAUUGUGGCACAUGCAUGAAGCACUAAAUAAAAAAACAAAAACUAAUAACAUAGUUUGUCUGUAAUUUACAAGACAAAUCUUUUGAGCUUAGUUAGUUUAUAAUUGGACAAUAUUUGCUACAAAUAAACGAAAAUGCUACAAUACCAAAAUAGAAAAUCUUUUCGGAACUAAACAAGGCCUAAGAAAAAAUAUAUAAUGUAAUACAAAUAAUAAUUAGAGCAAAGCAUAAGAAAAAAAAUAAAUACAUGUAACAAAGAAAAAAUUUAAAGAACAUCGUAUAUAUAUUACGUGAACAGUGCAAUUAGUUUUUAUUUUCGUCUAUUUGCAAUUUAGGAAUAGUACUACUUUCGUUUGUAUUUGACAAAUAUUAUCCAAUCAUGUACUAAUUAGACUCAAAAGAUUCGUCUCGUCAAUUCCGACCAAAUUGUGCAAUUAGUUUUUAUUUUUGUCUAUAUUUAAUACUUCACGCAUGCGUC
rnacentral:lncRNA from 1 species